CCUACGGGUGGCUGCAGUGGGGAAUAUUGGACAAUGGGCGAAAGCCUGAUCCAGCCAUGCCGCGUGUGUGAAGAUGGCCUUCGGGUUGUAAAGCACUUUCAGUGGGGAAGAAAGCCUUGGGGCUAAUACCCUCGAGGAAGGACAUCACCCACAGAAGAAGCACCGGCUAACUCCGUGCCAGCAGCCGCGGUAAUACGGAGGGUGCGAGCGUUAAUCGGAAUUACUGGGCGUAAAGCGCGCGUAGGCGGUCUGAUAAGCCGGUUGUGAAAGCCCCGGGCUCAACCUGGGAACGGCAUCCGGAACUGUCAGGCUAGAGUGCAGGAGAGGAAGGUAGAAUUCCCGGUGUAGCGGUGAAAUGCGUAGAGAUCGGGAGGAAUACCAGUGGCGAAGGCGGCCUUCUGGACUGACACUGACGCUGAGGUGCGAAAGCGUGGGUAGCAAACAGGAUUAGAUACCCCGGUAGUC
rnacentral:rRNA from 1 species